GAAUAUUGGACAAUGGGCGCAAGCCUGAUCCAGCCAUGCCGCGUGAGUGAUGAAGGCCUUAGGGUUGUAAAGCUCUUUCAGUGGGGACGAUAAUGACGGUACCCACAGAAAAAGCCCCGGCCAACUUCGUUCCAGCAGCCGCGGUAAUACGAAGGGGGCUAGCGUUGUUCGGAUUUACUGGGCGUAAAGCGCACGUAGGCGGAUUGUUAAGUUAGAGGUGAAAUCCUGGGGCUCAACUCCAGAACUGCCUUUAAUACUGGCAAUCUAGAGUCCGGAAGAGGUGAGUGGAACUCCUAGUGUAGAGGUGGAAUUCGUAGAUAUUAGGAAGAACACCAGUGGCGAAGGCGGCUCACUGGUCCGGUACUGACGCUGAGGUGCGAAAGCGUGGGGAGCAAACAGG
rnacentral:rRNA from 1 species